rnacentral:rRNA from 1 species
UACGUAGGGCGCAAGCGUUAUCCGGAAUUAUUGGGCGUAAAGAGCUCGUAGGCGGUUUGUCGCGUCUGCUGUGAAAGACCGGGGCUCAACUCCGGUUCUGCAGUGGGUACGGGCAGACUAGAGUGGUGUAGGGGAGACUGGAAUUCCUGGUGUAGCGGUGAAAUGCGCAGAUAUCAGGAGGAACACCGAUGGCGAAGGCAGGUCUCUGGGCAUUAACUGACGCUGAGGAGCGAAAGCAUGGGGAGCGAACAGG